rnacentral:sRNA from 1 species
UAUUACGAUGACAAAUAGCAUUAAAUG